AUUGAACGCUGGCGGCAGGCCUAACACAUGCAAGUCGAACGGUAACAGGAAGAAGCUUGCUUCUUUGCUGACGCGUGGCGGACGGGUGUGUAAUGUCCGGGAAACUGCCUGAUGGAGGGGGAUAACUACUGGAAACGGUAGCUCAUACAGCAUAACCUCGCAAGACCAAAGAGGAGGACCUUCGGGCCUCUUGCCAUCGGGUAUGACCAGAUGGGAUUAGCUAGUAGGUGGGGUAACGGCUCACCUAGGCGACGAUCCCUAGCUGGUCUGAGAGGAUGACCAGCCACACUGGAACUGAGACACGGUCCAGACUCCUACGGGAGGCAGCAGUGGGGAAUAUUGCACAAUGGGCGCAAGCCUGAUGCAGCCAUGCCGCGUGUAUGAAGAAGGCCUUCGGGUUGUAAAGUACUUUCAUCGGGGAGGAAGGGAGUAAAGUUAAUACCUUUGCUCAUUGACGUUACCCGCAGAAGAAGCACCGGCUAACUCCGUG
rnacentral:rRNA from 1 species